rnacentral:rRNA from 1 species
UACGUAUGGGGCAAGCGUUAUCCGGAUUUACUGGGUGUAAAGGGAGCGUAGGCGGCCUGGCAAGCCUGAUGUGAAAUACCGGGGCCCAACCCCUGGGCUGCAUUGGGAACUGCCAGGCUGGAGUGCCGGAGAGGCAGGCGGAAUUCCUAGUGUAGCGGUGAAAUGCGUAGAUAUUAGGAGGAACACCAGUGGCGAAGGCGGCCUGCUGGACGGUGACUGACGCUGAGGCUCGAAAGCGUGGGGAGCAAACAGG